UCAGAUGUGGUCUAGUGGUAUGACGUUUCCUUAGCACAUGGUUCUACCAUGGAAAAGGUACAGAACUUCCAACAUGAUUUGUGAAACAAGAUAUUAAUGAAAAAUCAGGUUCAGGGUUCGAUUCCGUCAGUAUUUCGAG